rnacentral:rRNA from 1 species
GACAGAGGUUGCAAACGUUGUUCGGAAUUACUGGGCAUAAAGCGCACGUAGGCGGUCCGUUAAGUCAUGUGUGAAAUCCCCCGGCUCAACCGGGGAAUUGCGCCUGAUACUGGCGGGCUAGAGGUCGAUAGGGGUGAGCGGAACUCCAGGUGGAGCGGUGAAAUGCGUAGAUAUCUGAAGGAACACCGGUGGCGAAAGCGGCUCACUGGAUCGAAACUGACGCUGAGGUGCGAAAGCUAGGGUAGCAAACGGG